rnacentral:lncRNA from 13 species
AGCCCAACCCUGAGGGACCUACACACACCAUGGCUGGGUUUCAUUGAUCAUAAACAAGAGCCUCUAAUGCCCUGCACUAAUGACUGUCCAGUGUAGCAGGCCUGUAAAACACACUUCACAACGGGGAAUCUCCAUUGAACAUCAUUUUUUAGGAUUUAUCUACGUCUGAGAAACUGGCCCUAGGAGAUCUCAUUUGAUUUAAACCGGAGAACCUGUUGCCAGACUAGAAUUAACAUAAAACUCAAACGAUCGUGGUGUAACAAAGCAGAGUGACAAAACAUACCCACUGAUAGGCUAGAUGAAAUGUUUAAAGAGCCAAUCACAUAGGGUUUCCACUCUUAAGAUGCACAAAAAAAACUCCACCACAAAAAUACCAAACAGUGUAAAUGCGGAUUUUAUUUUUUAAUGACAAUUGUAUUUUCAAAACGUGAUGUGUACAGGACAUUUAAUGAAGCCCUUACCUCCUGCCUUGGAGGUUUGAGCUGGGGGUUGUUUCUGGACAAGGCCUUGUUAUCAAAUCAAAUGUAUUUAUAAAGCCCUAUUUACAUCAGCUGAUAUCUCUCAAAAUGCUGUACAGAAACCCAGACUAAAACCCCCAAACAGCAAGCAAUGCAGGUGUAGAAGCACGGUGGCUAGGAAAAACUCCCUAGAAAGGCCAGAACCUAGGAAGAAACCUAGAGAGGAACCAGGCUAUGUGGGGUGGCCAGUCCUCUUCUGGCUGUGCCAGGUAGAGAGGAACCAGGCUAUGAGGGGUGGCCAGUCCUCUUCUGGCUGUGCCGGGUAGAGAGGAACCAGGCUAUGAGGGGUGGCCAGUCCUCUUCUGGCUGUGCCGGGUAGAGAGGAACCAGGCUAUGAGGGGUGGCCAGUCCUCUUCUGGCUGUGCCGGGUGGAGAUUAUAACAGAACAUGGCCAAGAUGUUCAAAUGUUAAUAAAUGACCAGCAGGGUCCAAUAAUAAUAAUCACAGUGGUUGUCGAGGGUGCAACAAGUCAGACACCUCAGGAGUAAAUGUCAGUUAUCCUUCUCCUGAAAGCGUGGUCCCUCUCCAAAGCCUUUUAUAUUGGCCAGGGUGUCGACAUCUACAUUCAUCUCAGUGGACUGGUUACGACCUGAACUCUCCUUAUAACCAUCAUCUAAAUCAGAAGAACAAUGCUGCAUCCCUCCUAACAGAUCACUCUAUUUCCUGUGACCUCACAACCAGUCUCAGUAGUCAGUCCACUGGUGAGGAGAGAGUCUGUUGAACAUUGUGUUCCUCUUGAGUUCAAAGACAACCAGUCUCAGUAGUCAGUCCCACUGGUGAGGAGAGAGUCUGUUGAACAUUGUGUUCCUGUUCAGGUAAAAGUUCAGGUCAGUCCGUCUGUGGAAUGGAGUUGAAAAACAACCAGUCUGACAGGAAAUCAACAAGGCUGAAGGUGUAACAGUGGUGUCCAACAUCCUCAGGGCAGGUCCACAUGUUGAGGAAGGAGUCAGACUUCAUGUCCCUCUAGUUUGGCAAAUAGAGGAUCUGUGAACAAAAUGAAGAGAGAAAUGAUGCAAUCAACUUUCCAGAGGUGGUUAAAUAUUAUAUAUAUAUUUAUUUUUACCUUUAUUUAACUAGGCAAGUCAGUUAAGAACAAAUUCUUAUUUUCAAUGACGGCCUACCGGGGAACAGUGGGUUAACUGCCUUGUUCAGGGGACAGAACGACAGAUUUUGUACCUUGUCAGCUCGGGGAUUUGAACUUGCAACCUUUCGGUUACUAGUCCAACACUCUAACCACUAGGCUACACUGCGUGAUUAGUGCCAGUGUUAAUCACAGUGAUUAGCGCCAGUGUAAACCACAGUGUUUAGUGCCAGUGUUAAUCACAGUGUUUAGUUCCAAUGUUAAUCACAGUGUUUAGUGCCAGUGUUAAUCACAGUGUUUAGUGCCAGUGUUAAUCACAGUGUUUAGUGCCAGUGUUAAUCACAGUGUUUAGUGCCAGUGUUAAUCACAGUGUUUAGUGCCAGUGUUAAUCACAGUGUUUAGUGCCAGUGUUAAUCACAGUGUUUAGUUCCAGUGUUAAUCACAGUGUUUAGUUCCAGUGUUAAUCACAGUGUUAAUCAGUGUUAAUCACAGUGUUGAGUUCCAGUGUAAAUCAGUGUUGAGUUCCAGUGUAAAUCAGUGUUUAGUGCCAGUGUUAAUCACAUUGUUAAUCAUAGUGUUUAGCGCCAGUGUUAAUCACAGUGUUAAUCAGUGUUAAUCACAGUGUUUAGUGCCAGUGUUAAUCACAGUGUUAUCACAGUGUUUAGUGCCAGUGUUAAUCACAGUGUUAAUCAGUGUUAAUCACAGUGUUUAGUGCCAGUGUUAAUCACAGUGUUAAUCAGUGUUAAUCACAGUGUUUAGUUCCAGUGUAAAUCACAGUGUUGAGUUCCAGUGUAAAUCAGUGUUUAGUGCCAGUGUUAAUCACAGUGUUAAUCAUAGUGUUUAUUGCCAGUGUUAAUCAGUGUUAAUCACAGUGUUUAGUUCCAGUGUUAAUCACAGUGUUUAGUGCCAGAGUUAAUCAUAGUGUUUAGUGCCAGUGUUAAUCACAGUGUUAAUCACAG